AACGAACGCUGGCGGCAUGCCUAACACAUCCAAGUCGAACGAGACCUUCGGGUCUAGUGGCGCACGCAUACAUAACUCGCGGGAAUCUACCCUCAUGUUCGGAAGCACUCCUAGAAAUUUGAACUCUUACCGGAUGGUGACGUAACUCCAAAGAUGUAUCGCCUGAGGAUGAGCCCUCUUCUGCUUAGGUAGUUGGUGAGGUACAGGCUCACCAAUACGACGAUCCUUAGCUGGUCUGAGAGCAUGAUCAGCCACGCUGGGACUGAGACACGGCCCAGACUCCUACGGGAGGCAGAAGUGGGGAAUAUUGGACAAUGAGCGAAAGCCUGAUCCAGCAAUGCCGCGUGAGUGAUGCAGGCGUUAGGGUUGUAAAGCUAUUUUACCCGGGAUGAUAAUGACAGUACCGGGCGAAUAAGCUACGGCUAACUACGUG
rnacentral:rRNA from 1 species